rnacentral:tmRNA from 1 species
GGGGGCGACAGGUCUCGACUGAGCAGGCAGAAGCAGGGUGGCGCGCCGAGGUGGUCCAGGACCUCGUUAAACAACUGGACGGCGAUUACACGCCGAUACACAGCUCGCUUACGCUGCUUAACUAAGUAGCGUCGUUCGCCCCGCUUCGCUGGCGCGCGGGGGUCGAACGUCAUCAGCCAGCUGCUCCGGCGCUCCUCGCUCCGGGAGGGCCGGCUAAGACCCAGAGAGCUAGCGGGAUCGGAAUCCGGCCUGCGGGAGUCCGGCCCCGCGAAUCCAAACCGCAGGAUACGCGCGUAGAUGCCCUGCCCUCGCGGCUUCAGGACGCGGGUUCGAUUCCCGCCGCCUCCACCA